GAAAUGCGAUAAGUAAUGUGAAUUGCAGAAUUCAGUGAAUCAUUGAAUCUUUGAACACACCUUGCGCUCCUUGGUAUUCCUUGGAGCAUGCCUGUUUGAGUAUCAUGAAAUCUUCAAAGUAAAUCUUUUGUUAACUCAAUUGGUUUCUACUUUGGUAUUGGAGGUCUUUGCAGCUUCACACCUGCUCCUCUUUGUUCAUUAGCUGGAUCUCAGUGUUAUGCUUGGUUCCACUCGGCGUGAUAAGUUAUCUAUCGCUGAGGACACUGUAAAAGGUGGCCAAGGUAAAUGCAGAUGAACCGCUUCUAAUAGUCCAUUGACUUGGACAAUACUUUUAUGAUCUGAUCUCAAAUCAGGUAGGACUACCCGCUGAACUUAAGC
rnacentral:misc_RNA from 1 species